UACGUAGGUGGCAAGCGUUGUCCGGAUUUAUUGGGUUUAAAGGGUGCGUAGGCGGCUUUGUAAGUCAGUGGUGAAAUACUCCAGCUUAACUGGAGGGGUGCCAUUGAUACUGCGGAGCUUGAGUACAGAUGAGGUAGGCGGAAUUGACGGUGUAGCGGUGAAAUGCAUAGAUAUCGUCAAGAACACCGAUAGCGAAGGCAGCUUACUGGGCUGUAACUGACGCUGAUGCACGAAAGCGUGGGGAGCAAACAGG
rnacentral:rRNA from 1 species